AGGCCUACGGGGGGCAGCAGUAGGGAAUCUUCCACAAUGGGCGCAAGCCUGAUGGAGCAACACCGCGUGAGUGAAGAAGGGUUUCGGCUCGUAAAGCUCUGUUGUUGGAGAAGAACGUGCGUGAGAGUAACUGUUCCCGCAGUGACGGUAUCCAACCCGAAAGUCACGGCUAACUUCGUGCCAGCAGCCGCGGUAAUACGUAUGUGGCAAGCGUUAUCCGGAUUUAUUGGGCGUAA
rnacentral:rRNA from 1 species